UUCACUGAUUAUCUACCAAUUUCGAUUUGUAUUGUCAUUGUUUUGACUGGCUGACAUACCACUGCACCUAUUUUGAUGAUCUGUUCGCGACGGUGACCUUUCUUCUCGAAAAUUCUUCUGGGGUGGUUUUCAUAACCACAUACCACAACCGCAGUGGUCAUCAUCUGAUUGAGUUUUUGAUGAUCAAGUGGGGUUUGAAGUGUUUGAAACUGCUCGAUGGUUUCUUCUUCCUGCCACCAUGCAAAGCUGCUUCACUAGAGGGGAAUAUUCAGCUUGUUGAAAUUGCACUUGACAAGUUAAAACAUAAAUGACUUGAGGUGAGGUAACUUUUUUCCUGGAUCAGAAAAAUCUGCAAGCGUAUGGGAACAAUGGCUUAGGUUUCAAGUGUUACAGCUUUACAUGAGUUGAUGAAAAACGCAGAGAAAUGGAUGACAUAUAUUUGGUCCUCUGAAAACAUGUAGGAGCGACUCCAUGUGAAUUCAUUCAUUUGGACUGGCAUCACAACGAUGUUCUUUCAAUUAAAAGAAACUCAUGGGGAGUAUUGUACUAUGAAUAGCCUAUGCAUGCACGAAAAACACAGAAAAUGUUAGCAGAUAUGUUCUAUUUCGUUCCAACUGUAAAGAAUAUGUUGGUUGCCUAGAAAAGGUGGAAAGUUUUCCGUUUUUUA